UUGCAGUGACAUUAAUUCUGUUGCCUGACCUCGAUCCGUCGGUGAGGUCUUAGUGGCAUUUGAAAUUUGAAGUGAUCCCUCUAUUUUCAUCAUUUUUUAAUGCUGACGUUGAUGUAUAAUUGAUAGGACCGUCUUCAGAGGUCCAGGCCAGUCUCUCAGUGGAUAGUGCGACCUUGUUUGCGCCUUCUCAAUUUAACUGGUGGAACCCGCUUCUGGGAAGCCAGUCAACCGAUUCGCAGUCACACAAAUUCCACGUGAGCUUUGUGGCCACUGUAUCUGGAUUCUCAAAAUGUCGAUGGAAAUCCGUAGAGUUUAUAGUCUUGAUUGACUGUUUUCUUGAGUGAUUUCUCGAAGAAAUAUUUGUUUUUUUUUUUUUUUUUUUUCGAAAGAUCAAAACGACUGUAUGUAUCCUCGAAGUAAGACUGUUGUCUUCUAGCCUGCAGGUUCAGAAUGACUGCGCAGCUUGUCAGCAGCAAGGCUGUAUUCUCGAAGGACCAAAAAACUGUAUGGUCCUGUCUGUGUGAGUGAGAGACGACAUGUGAGGGAAGGUUAUGAGGGAAACCAAACCCAAUGAAAGUCGAUCUAACACU
rnacentral:misc_RNA from 1 species